rnacentral:rRNA from 1 species
AACCAGCUCCUUUAGCCUUAUAGGCUAGUCUCCAAAUCUCCUAGCUUUGCCGUCAUUCUGUUGUAUUUUUUAUGACGCCGAGUGAAGACGGGAAGACUAGGGUACCUUUUUUCCUAGGGAAUUAGGUUCCAACAAGUCCAUGAAACUCUGUCCUUAUUAGGUUUCCAGGAGUUUUUGCCUGGAGUUGCGAAUAAAGCUUAUGAGGAUUUUGCCUUUUAAGUUGGGCGUAAAAUGCCCUCUGAAAAGUAAGCUUUUUGGAAAAUUCUAAGCAACUAGAUCAGGUUUUCUACGAACUGGAAAAAUAUUCCUCUUUUUCACUUUAUGUCCUGAUUGGACUAGAGUGAAAGUGGACUUGUUUUUCUGCACCUGUUCCGUAAGGGAAAAGGUGAACUAGGCGUAGCCUUGAGGAAAACCAGGUGAGCAACUAAUUCUUUCCUAGGCUUAAGACCAGCUAAACCUCGUCAUAGUCUUGAAUUUCCUUGGAUCAGCUCGUCCUCUUUUUAGUAGAACCCACCAUUUUUCCUGGUGAGGAAAAGGUUGGGUUGAGUAUCGAGCUUGUGAGACUCUUUUAAUUUCCUUUCUUGUUAGAGGUUAGCUGAGUUGUCCAUAAAGUCUAUUUUGGGCCUACGUCCUUUUCAGUGAACUCGGCAAGAACUGGCACAACUGUUUUCUAGAAACAUAGGUGCUAGAAAGUCUUAGUGCCUUGUACUGCCAAGGGUUCCUACUGGCAGCAGUAUCUUGACUGUGCCAAAGUACCGUAAUUUCUUGUUGCUUUAUUGGCAACCAGGGAAGUAUACAUGAUGUCAUUCCUUUACUGAA